rnacentral:rRNA from 1 species
CGGGACGGGUGAGUAAUGUCUGGGAAACUGCCCGAUGGAGGGGGAUAACUACUGGAAACGGUAGCUAAUACCGCAUAACGUCGCAAGACCAAGAGGGGACCUUCGGGCCUCUUGCCAUCGGAUGUGCCCAUAUGGGAUUAGCUAGUAGGUGGGGUAAUGGCUCACCUAGGCGACGAUCCCUAGCUGGUCUGAGAGGAUGACCAGCCACACUGGAACUGAGACACGGUCCAG